UUGGUUUAGCAAUUUAAAUUUUAACGUUAAAUCUGAACACCUAACAACCUUUUACUUUUUUUUACUAUAACCAGUACCCUUAUAAAGUACUACUAUUGUAAUAAUACUAGUGGAUUUGUUGCUGAAAGGUCAAGCUUCAUCAUAUAUCUGUGCAUAUUAAUCGAACAAAUUACGUUUGUUUUUUCCUUACGGGAUUGUAACUUAAUUAUUUAAGCCUAUCAAAAACGAAAUUAAAGGUUACACCAUGCAAAGAAUAUUGAUCUAUCAGCCUAUUAAUUAACUCAAUACUGGAUACAGUGCACCAAUAACGAAAACAAGCGUUCAUAGUCUUACAAGUUACAUUGCUGCUCAGUAGAUCAGCGAAACCCACUUCAUAUAUUCCAAUCCUCACCACAACAUUGGCAUAAAUAAAUCACUUUACUUACAAAACCAUGAAUAUUCACUGGACUCUUUUAGCAGGGUUUUUGUAUGCUGAAAUGGGAUUUCUGACUCUGUUGCUACUACCUUUCAUUUCACCAAGAGGAUGGAACCGUGUCUUCAAGUCAAACUUUUGCCAAGCGAUGAAAAAACAAGCCAAUGUCUACUUUACAGUGUGUAUUAUUGUACUUAUACUUCUCUUCUUAG